GCGGGAGCGGCCCGGGGGCUCCGCCGCCCUCACGGCGCUGCCGGCGGUGACGCGGGGGCGGCCACCUCGUGGCGUGGCUGCCGGGGCUGUCGUGCUGGCGGCAGGUGGUCGGUGGGCUCCUGGGGUGAGGGCCCGGCCAGGCCACAGCGCCGCCCUCACGGCGCCCACCUCACCUGUCCUGCCUAUUGUACCUCUGCUGCGUCAUGCGUGAAUGAAUUCAUUUUGGAUUAAGUAAUUUUUAACCUGAGUUUAAUUUAAUUUUGUUGGUACUGUUGCAAAACGUGGAAUACGUAAAAAUUUUCUUAAGGAUGUUCUGUGAUGUUUGAUGCGUCGUCAGCAAGGAGGGAGGUUUAAUCCGUGGAACAAAUAGCAGCUCACAGGAUCUAAGCGAUGUCCAGGUGUUAGAGAAAUAAGUUAUUGUUGGUAGAGUUGCCUUGUUAAGGGCUAGGCCUGGACGUACUUCGUGAUCUUAGACCUUGAGGGAGUUUAACAAAGCCUGGGGACAAGGAUGUGCCAGUGAUGGUGGCCACAGGAAAUGCACCAUUGACGGGCCACAGAGACACCCGGCAGGACUGCAAGUGCCAAAUGCUCAACCACUCAGGAUAACCUCAAAUACCACAAGAACUCGACAAAACUACUGUAACUUCUUGGGGCUACAUUCUCAAGGACAUGUCUGGAUUGACAGCUUUGUGCUGAGUGUUCCUGCAAGGCACUGAGCAUCCUUAACUCCAAUUAACAUCACUGGGAAUGGAGGGCACUUGGAGCCUCUCUGAAGACAGUCUUGGCGUGCUCAGCUGUCCAAGGAUCACUCUGGGAUCACCCACUGACACAGCAGUUACUGCUGAGACAGGAGACACAGGCAGCAAAAGGAGGGAAAGACCACUUUAUCCAGAUUGUGUGAUCUCAUCAAGUCACUGAACUUCCCAAUCUCAGAGCUCUUUGUUUUUAAGCCUAUAGGCAUAUUUGUGAUGGUAUAGAGGAAAAACCUCUUGGAAGAGCAGAUUUAAUCCGUGCUCAAGGAGAGGUGAAAACAGCCCUGGAGGGAGAGGAGAACCCUCAUCACUGAGUGCCAAGGAAAGUUGCUGUGAGCUGAAGAGCCUCUGCAGCAGCUCUUGGCCACUCCUGCAAUCCUGCCUCAGCUUCAGAUACCAGGUGAUGUUAUUGGCAUUUUGCUUUUUGCUUCCUCCUUUAUUCUAUCAAAGGUCACUUCAUGACACUGUGGUGAGCCCCAGAAUGAUGAAAUGUUCUGCAGGAAUCCCUGUUCUUCCAGGCAGGUUUAUCCCAGUGCACCAUGGACUCUGUUUAGGAGAGCCUACAGCAGGGUAAGGACUCUACCCUGCACCUUCUGGGUGCCUCCCUGCUCUGCUCUCCUUUCCCACUCCUCCCUUUGCUUCCUGAUUCUUUAAAUUCCUCAGCACCUCUAGUUCUGGGACAUACUGGAAUUUGUGCACACAGCCCUUAAACUGUUUUCUUCUGGGUCAAAAUUUUCCAGAGAAUGCCCAGGGAGUGCAGACAUCUCCUCACAGCAUUUAAUUGCUUCUUCAGUAGGAAGGGAUGUUAGUGGGAUUUGUGUUUGUUUGUACUUGGGACACUUACAGAACCUCAUGGGGUAAUUAUUCCUAAUUAGCAACUUGGACACACGCUGCUCCUUCCUCCUACAAUCUGCAAUUAAUAAUACAGACAUAAUUCAGAUUUCUCCUUGCCAGUCUUGUGUUUAUGUUUAUAACAAGAGGAAACAGUUUAGGGAAAAAAAUGUAUCUAAAUCAAUCACCUGCUGAGCUCCACACAGGGAUUACCUGAGGAUUAUCCUGUGCUCGUGGCAGCUGAGACAUUCAGAACUUUGGGCACCUCUGUGUCAGCCUGAUUCCCUGUCAUAUUCCUCUAAGUUCUUCUCCUCAUUAGUCACAGACUGCUUCUUACCACGGCUUAAUUCAAUUUUUAGAUUGGUUGUACAGUAUGAAAAAUCCUCAGAAUUAGUAACACUAGUGUUAUUUUAAAAUAGAUUAAUAUUUAGAGGGCGAGUGAGGUCUGGAGUUCUUCCUUUUUUGCUUCUCUCAAUGGCCCCUACUGAACUAAUGUAUGUGUGCACUGAACAUCCCAAUGAGAAGGAUCAAUGUAAGGAUGGAGAAAUUCUUCAACUCUUACCCCAGGUGUCACAGAACAUUUCCAGUCUCAGAUAUAUUUGUUUACAGUGGAACAUAUGG